UCAAAUGAUGAAUUCUGUUAUUCACACUGUUUGAUCUGUGCAUACCCUGUACGGAAAUGAACAUCACUUACAAAAAAUCUGAUUUAAUGAGGUUGGUU
rnacentral:snoRNA from 1 species